UCCGGUUGAUCCUGCCGGAGGUUGCUGCUAUUCGGAUUCGAUUUAGCCAUGCAAGUCAAUUCUCUUCGGAGGAUGGCGCAUCGCUCAGUAACACGUCGAUAAUCUGCCCUUAGGUCUGGAAUAAUCUCGGGAAACUGGGUCUAAAACCAGAUAGGAAAAUUUUACUGGAAUGUGCCUUUUCUGAAAGGUAACGCCUAAGGAUGAGUUGGCGGUCGAUUAGAUUGUUGGUGGGGUAGUGGCCCACCAAGUCCGCGAUCGAUACGGGUCCUGAGAGGGAUAGCCCGGAGAAGGACACUGAGAUACUGGUCCUAGCCCUACGGGGUGCAGCAGUCGCGAAACCUUUACAAUGCACGAAAGUGUGAUAAGGGAAUCCGAAGUGCUAACACAUUGUGUUGGCUUUUUUCAAUGGUAAAUACAUUGAAGAAUAAGUGGUGGGUAAGACUGGUGCCAGCCGCCGCGGUAACACCAGCGCCACGAGUGGGAACCACGUUUAUUUGGCCUAAAGCGUUCGUAGCCGGUUGAGUAAAUCUUCUGUGAAAUCGUUGUUCUUAAUGCAACGGCGUGCAGAAAACACUACUUGACUAGGAACCGGGAGGGGUUAGAAGUAUGCCAAGGGGAGCGGUAAAAUGCUAUAAUCCUUGGUAGACUACCUUUGGCGAAGGCGUCUAACUAGAACGGGUUCGACGGUGAGGAACGAAAGCUAGGGGAGCGAUCCGGAUUAGAUACCCGAGUAGUCCUAGCCGUAAACUUUGCGAGCUAGAUAUUGCAUAUUUUUCGUGAAUGUGCAGUGUCGAAGCGAAGGCGUUAAGCUCGCCGCCUGGGAAGUAUAGUCGCAAGACCGAAACUUAAAGGAAUUGGCGGGGGCUCACUACAACAGGCGCGGCGUGCGGUUUAAUUUAACUCCACACAGAGAAUCUCACCAGGGGCGACGGCAGAAUGAAAGUCAGAUUAAAGGUUUUACUUAACGAGCCGAGAGGUACUGCAUGGCCGCCGUCAGCUCGUACCGUAAGGUGUCCGGUUAAGUCCGGCAACGAGCGAGACCCA
rnacentral:rRNA from 1 species